AGAGUUUGAUCAUGGCUCAGGAUGAACGCUGGCGGCGUGCUUAACACAUGCAAGUCGAACGGAAAUGUUUCGCUGAUGCGAUUUCGGUCAAAUCUUGAAGCAUUUUAGUGGCGGACGGGUGAGUAACGCGUGGGUAACCUGCCCUGUACAGGGGGACAACAGUUGGAAACGACUGCUAAUACCGCAUAAGCGCACAGCUUCGCAUGAAGCAGUGUGAAAAACUCCGGUGGUACAGGAUGGACCCGCGUCUGAUUAGAUAGUUGGUGAGGUAACGGCCCACCAAGUCAACGAUCAGUAGCCGGCCUGAGAGGGUGAACGGCCACAUUGGGACUGAGACACGGCCCAAACUCCUACGGGAGGCAGCAGUGGGGAAUAUUGCACAAUGGGGGAAACCCUGAUGCAGCGACGCCGCGUGAGUGAAGAAGUAUUUCGGUAUGUAAAGCUCUAUCAGCAGGGAAGAAAACAAUGACGGUACCUGACUAAGAAGCCCCGGCUAACUACGUGCCAGCAGCCGCGGUAAUACGUAGGGGGCAAGCGUUAUCCGGAUUUACUGGGUGUAAAGGGAGCGUAGACGGUAGACCAAGUCUGAAGUGAAAGCCCGGGGCUCAACCCCGGAACUGCUUUGGAAACUGGUAAACUAGAGUGCAGGAGAGGUAAGUGGAAUUCCUAGUGUAGCGGUGAAAUGCGUAGAUAUUAGGAGGAACACCAGUGGCGAAGGCGGCUUACUGGACUGUAACUGACGUUGAGGCUCGAAAGCGUGGGGAGCAAACAGGAUUAGAUACCCUGGUAGUCCACGCCGUAAACGAUGAUUAUUAGGUGUCGGGGAGUUAAACUCUUCGGUGCCGCAGCAAACGCAAUAAGUAAUCCA
rnacentral:rRNA from 1 species